GAUGAACGCUGGCGGCGUGCCUAAUACAUGCAAGUCGAGCGAACAGACGAGGAGCUUGCUCCUCUGACGUUAGCGGCGGACGGGUGAGUAACACGUGGAUAACCUACCUAUAAGACUGGGAUAACUUCGGGAAACCGGCGCUAAUACCGGAUAAUAUAUUGAACCGCAUGGUUCAAUAGUGAAAGACGGUUUUGCUGUCACUUAUAGAUGGAUCCGCGCCGCAUUAGCUAGUUGGUAAGGUAACGGCUUACCAAGGCAACGAUGCGUAGCCGACCUGAGAGGGUGAUCGGCCACACUGGAACUGAGACACGGUCCAGACUCCUACGGGAGUCAGCAGUAGGGAGUCUUCCGCAAUGGGCGAAAGCUUGACGGAGCAACGCCGCGUGAGUGAUGAAGGUCUUCUGAUCGUAAAACUCUGUUAUUAGGGAAGAACAAAUGUGUAAGUAACUAUGCACGUCUUGACGGUACCUAAUCAGAAAGCCACGGCUAACUACGUG
rnacentral:rRNA from 1 species